AGAAACUUAGGAUAACGCCCCCCGAAACCGAAGGCCUUCAAAGCCUUAGACAAGAGUUAGACUCUCUUAGUUUCUG
rnacentral:tRNA from 1 species